GGGAGGAAGUAGAGAGAGAGGGAGAAGGAAAGAGGUGAGGAAGUAGAGAGAGAGGGAGAAGGAAAGAGGUGAGGAAGUAGAGAGAGAGGGAGAAGGAAAGAGGUGAGGAAGUAGAGAGAGAGGGAGAAGGAAAGAGGUGAGGAAGUAGAGAGAGGGAGGAGGAAAGAGGUGAGGAAGUAGAGAGAGAGGGAGAAGGAAAGAGGUGAGGAAGUAGAGAGAGGGAGAAGGAAAGAGGUGAGGAAGUAGAGAGAGAGGGAGGAGGAAAGAGGUGAGGAAGUAGAGAGAGGGAGGAGGAAAGAGGUGAGGAAGUAGAGAGAGGGAGGAGGAAAGAGGUGAGGAAGUAGAGAGAGGAAAGAGGUGAGGAAGUAGAGAGAGGAAAGAGGUGAGGAAGUAGAGAGAGGAAAGAGGUGAGGAAGUAGAGAGAGGAAAGAGGUGAGGAAGUAGAGAGAGGAAAGAGGUGAGGAAGUAGAGAGAGGGAGGAGGAAAGAGGUGAGGAAGUAGAGAGAGGGAGAAGGAAAGGUGAGGAAGUAGAGGGAAGGAGGAGAGAGAGGGAGAUAUGGGGAAAGAGAAGGAAAAAAUACAAAUCAGUCCAUUUCACUUCAACAAAGACUUAAUUAUGAUUUAAAACAUCCCCCUUGGCUCCCUGCAUCAUUGUCCAUCUCUACAUUAGUCCUUGUUAUUCAUCCCUUCCACUCACCUUCCCUUCCACUCACCAUCCCUUCCACUCACCAUCCCUUCCACUCACCAUCCCUUCCACUCACCUUCCCUUCCACUCACCUUCCCUUCCACUCACCUUCCCUUCCACUCACCUUC